UACAGAGGGGGCAAGCGUUAUUCGGAAUUAUUGGGCGUAAAGGGCGCGUAGGCGGCCUGGCAAGUGGAAGGUGAAAUCCCUCGGCUUAACCGAGGAACUGCCUUCCAAACUGCUUGGCUUGAGUCCGGGAGAGGUGAGUGGAAUUCCCAGUGUAGCGGUGAAAUGCGUAGAUAUUGGGAGGAACACCAGUGGCGAAGGCGGCUCACUGGACCGGAACUGACGCUGAGACGCGAAAGCGUGGGGAGCAAACAGG
rnacentral:rRNA from 1 species